GAGGGUAUAGCUCAGUAGUAGAGCUGUAUGCUUAGUAUGCAUGAGGUUAUGGGUUCAAUCCCCAGUACCUCUA
rnacentral:tRNA from 1 species